GGUCACAGGCAGUUGUUCAACCUCACUUCUGAAAUUGCUUUUAUCUAAAAAUUAUCUGCAUCACUCGCUUGUAGUGUUUUUUUGUCCAACAUUUCAAGCAAUCUUAAGUCAAAUUCAGCACAAAAUAUAAUGAAAAAUGAGUUGGACAGUCUUUAUGUUGAAUCAGGUUUCCUUGAUCUACCUGACUUUCUGAGUGAUUGUCUUCGACGAAUGUUUAAACAUCAGUUGCAUCACUGCUUUUUGCUUUUAGUAACUGAUGACUGUAUUUUGAUAACUCUGACAACAAAAAGUGUGUGUGUAUUUAUGUACGCACGUAAGAAGUAUUUACUUACGAAGCAAGAUGUUACUUACGAAGUAAGAAGUAACCACCAUACCUGGUGGUCAUUCGCUAUCCACCACCUGCGACCCCGUUUGUAACUUGUAACACAGCACCAUCAGUACUAAGUUGUUUUGGUUGAUGUAAUUGAAGUCGGUUUUUUUUCAUUUUCGAGCAAAACAAUUACCCUACAAAUGAAGUGAAAGUUAAAUAUACUUCUCAAAUUGUUAUUUUCUAAGUAUGAAAACGUUAUCUGCAUCACUCUUUCAUUGCAUUGGUUUCUUCUUAACUUCGAAAUAAAAGGUCGCUUAUAUAUUUACUUAAACUUUUCUCAGUGACACACGACUCAACACUCUAACGGCGAUUGUAAUUUUGCAGCUCCUGGUGUGUCGGCGACGUCGCAGACGCCGUCCGUGGUCACAAUCUCCACUUUUUCUCAGCUCAAGUGGUUAUUCUUAGCUUGGCGUUUCAGUUGACGUUCUGUCUUGUUCGAACACGGCAUCUUCUAAUUCAUGAAGAUUAUAUAAUUGUCUUAAAUAACGGUUAUCAAUCCGCAACUUAAUUUGCGUCCACUGCUACAAUCAGUCACGUUUUACUCCCCGUCUGCGAGUUCUUCGUCUCGCCAUACUACCAACUUUGGCGUAACAAUCUAUAGAUAAAUAUUUAUAGAAGGAGUUUUAAGAAUUAAGUAAGAGUUGGACCUAAGCGAACAUGACUUUCAAUAAACCUCGAGGAUUAAGAGAAGGAAUAAAAACACAAUCUGCAACACUAUCUUACUCUUCCUCCGUCUCCAUUGAAGACGAUCGUAAGCAGCAUAUAUUGCACGGUGCAAGCUGCCUCCCACCGUAUUCUUGAUGACAUCAGACCAUCUUGCUGGUGUCCUCCCUUUGGCGUGUUUCCCUUCAACUUGACACAGCGUUAUAAGCUUAUCAAGACUAUGCUUAGGAGACCGCAUAAUGUGCCCGAAGAAGGUAAGGGCCCGCUCCAUGCAGAUCGAUGAGAGUCGCUUGGUGAUAUUGAGCUCUUGUAAAAUUGACUCGUUCGUCCUCAUGGCAGUCCAAGGGAUUCGGGGUAGUCUUCGCCAACACCAUAUUUCGAAUGCAUUGAUCUUACUGCAAUCGCGACUUCUGAGGCACCAAGUUUAUGAGCCAUACAAAAAUACAUAGAACACAAGAG
rnacentral:misc_RNA from 1 species